rnacentral:rRNA from 1 species
AUUGAACGCUGGCGGCAGGCCUAACACAUGCAAGUCGAACGAGUGGCGGACGGGUGAGUAAUGUCUGGGAAACUGCCUGAUGGAGGGGGAUAACUACUGGAAACGGUAGCUAAUACCGCAUACCAUCGGAUGUGCCCAGAUGGGAGUAGCUAGUAGGUGGGGUAAAGGCUCACCUAGGCGACGAUCCCUAGCUGGUCUGAGAGGAUUACCAGCCAAACUGGAACGGAGACAAGGUCCAGACGCCUCCGGGAGGCAGCAGGGGGGAAUAUUGGACAAUGGGCGCAAGCCGGAUGCAGCCAUGCCGCGGGGAGGAAGAAGGCGUUCGGGUUGUAAAGUACGUUCAGAGGGGAGGCGUUACCCGCAGAAGAAGCACCGGCUAACUCCGUGCCAGCAGCCGCGGUAAUUC